UUUUUGGCCUGUAUCUGAUAGAAAGUAUCAGCCAUUUAAGAGUUAAAACAUUAACUCCAAGUUAUUCAGAAAGGCAAUUUUCUGUAGAUUUGCACAGAGGGAUGGAAUUUGACCUAAGGCACAAUUAUCUAAAUGCAGAAGCACGCAACAUGACCAUCAACUUGAAGGAAGCUUGGAGUAGUCAGUUCUACAAGUUGGGGUUGGAGGUCAAUUUGGAAAGGCAUUGGUAAGAUUCAAGAGUGCAUUACAAAUAAAUGGUAAAUUACCUUUUUAAUGAUGUAUCUUCCUCUUGUAGGCACAGGAGACUUUAAGGCUAUUUCUCACAAUGGGUGAGACUCUCUAGAUAGUCCGUUAGGGAUAAUUUUGGCUAAAAUUACAUUGGAAAAUAGGUGGAACUUUUUGAUUUUGUAAUUUCCUUUGUUUUCUGCAUGUCUGGCUGUCUCUACUUUAAUCUAGUUUUGCGUGUGAUUCACAAAACUGACGUCACAUGGCAGUCUCAUGGAUCUGAGUGUUUUGUAGUUGAUUAGCUGCUGCAGAAUAUAGCCAACUGCAGACAUUGGCAGGGAGUGUUCUGCAUUGAAGGGUGCUAGGAAUAUCGGAAAAUGGUCCUAACUUCUCCCUGAUCACUUAGCCUUAGCAACAGGGAUCCGUGUUGCUCCUCCCUUCAGAAUGGCAUAGCAGUCACACUGAGAUAUGUGAAUUUCGCACUGAGUUUUCUGGGCUAUGGGGAUGAGUGGGCUUGAGUAAAAUGCAAAGAUCCUGUCUUUACUCUAAAAAUUUUUUACAAAGUGGAUUGGAAAUUCCCAUCUCUGUUUCCCAACUUUAGAACGAAUGAUUAUGAGACCCCUGAAUGUUUCGAGUCCCCACUGUUCUUAAGAAUAAAUGAGAUAAUAAAUGUUAAGCACUUAAUCUGGUUCCUGAAACCUUACGAGGAGUGAAUAAAUGAUGGCUACUUAUAUUGUCAUGUUCAUUGCUAGUGUUUUGCUCCAUAGUUUUGCUCCUGGCUCCUGAUCUUUCUUUCAGUUUAAGAACAUUCCUGCAGAAUCAUCAGCCACAGUCCUGCCUUGAGAUAAAUUUUUCUGGAAUGAUGGUCAUCUAUCUUCCUUCUUUGAGUCUGAGCCCUUUCCUUCUGAACGUGGGGAACUUCUUCUUCGUUAAUUUUCCCAGAGUAUUUCUGAAGAACAGCAAGAAUUCCCUGGAAUAAGGUGUUGAAAUUAUUGCACUGUGCUACAGGGAAAAUAUUUUUCCUUAAGAUCAUAGUGCGUCUGAAAGACUCCAGCUCUGAUCUUAGAGGCAUAAAAGUAAGGAAAUGUGGCUCUGACCUUGGAAAGAACCAUAAAUCAACUGAGGGUUGGAUCUAGAGCCUACUUAAUUCCAGAAUUUCAGCUGCAAAGUGUUAACCUAAACUCUAAACACAUCACAAUGCCUGGAAUAAGGUAAGUGCUCAAUAGAUGUUACAUAUUAUUGUCAUGAUUAUUAUCAAUGUCAUCAUUGCACUGCUCCGGUAGGUAAUCUCUGUCUUCCCCUAAAUGAUUCCCCCAAAGUAGAUGUGAGGUCUUGCCCAGUAAUCAACAUAGUGAUGUGUGAAAUACCCACCCAUGUUGAGAUUAAAAGGCCAUAAUAAUUCACCAAGAACCUACAAGGACCUGUUUAUAAGCCAAGUAUUCUUCUAGGUAUGGGGGUAAACAGACACAAAUUUCUUGCUUAUUAGAGGCCUUGAUACAAAAAAAAAAAAAAUCAUAGCCUUGUAAAGAAGGGAAUAGGCUGAAGGAGAAUAUGUAAAUAAGACAGUAACUGCUAGAGUGCAUCGACAUUUUUUAAAUACUCAUUAAUCCAGACCUGGGUUUAUGUUAGUUUAAACAAGUAUCCAUCCUUUCUUUUUUUUCACACUAACCUAGUGGCAGCUACUGAACUUCUUCUGGAAGAACUGAUGUCUCUGCAGCACCUUGCACAGUUCCUGGCUCAAAUCUACAUUUAACAAGUGCCCGUUUUACUCAAAUCCUCCCUGGGCCCCAGGGCCACAUGAUGGCUUUGACUGACCCAAGGGAACAGACGUGGGCACAGAGGUAGGGCAGAGCCAAAUUCUAACCAAGGGCCUCUGAAAUCAAAGCAUCAUGUGAUUUUACUUUAGCAGCUUAGCCUUCCACUGGAUCUGAUCUUUUCCAGGCGAAUAUUUUCCAAAAACAACAAAUAUGCCCCAUUUUCAAGGAAGUGCUUCUAAAGUCUCUUCUCUUACUGAUGAGUUUCUCAGAUGGGCAAAGUGUAUUCUGUGGGUAUGAAAGGCAAGAAAACUAAACAAUGAAUGGAUCUAUACCUUGUUCCGUGUACUUUGGAAUGUUUUGGUUUCCACCUUGGCAGUUAUUGGGGAAAUCCUAUCCUUGGAUUAGGAGCCAUGCUCAUAGCAAAUUCAGGGGAAGAAAUUCUUUACACUGAAGUUAGGGUGAAUGGAAUAUUAGCAAAGAGUUUCUUUUCUUUUGGGGGGCACAGGUGAAGGGGCUUGUGGGAAUAACCUUUGUCAGGAACGAUGGAGAUAGCAUUAGCUCAACCUUGAGCCUUGAGCUUCUUUCAGAAGAAUAUAUAAGAGGAACCC